AUUGAACGCUGGCGGCAGGCCUAACACAUGCAAGCCGAACGAGUGGCGGACGGGUGAGUAAUGUCUGGGAAACUGCCCGAUGGCGGGGGAUAACUACUGGAAACAGUAGCUAAUACCGCAUACCCUCGGAUGUGCCCAGAUGGGAUUAGCUGGUAGGUGGGGUAACGGCUCACCUAGGCGACGAUCCCCAGCUGGUCUGAGAGGAUGACCAGCCACACGGGAACGGAGACACGGCCCAGACCCCUACGGUAGGCAGCAGUGGGGAAUAUUGCACAAUGGGCGCAAGCCUGAUGCAGCCAUGCCGCGUGGAUGAAGAAGUCCUUCGUGUUGUAAAGUACUUUCAGCGAGUAGGCGUUACUCGCAGAAGAAGCACCGGCUAACUCCGUGCCAGCCGCCGCGGUAAUAC
rnacentral:rRNA from 1 species